rnacentral:rRNA from 1 species
UACGAAGGUCCCAAGCGUUGUUCGGAAUUACUGGGCGUAAAGGGCUGGUAGGCGGCCAACUAAGUCGGACGUGAAAUCCCCAGGCUCAACCUGGGAACUGCGUCCGAUACUGGAUGGCUUGAAUUCGGGAGAGGGAUGCAGAAUUCCAGGUGUAGCGGUGAAAUGCGUAGAUAUCUGGAGGAACACCGGUGGCGAAGGCGGCAUCCUGGACCGGCAUUGACGCUGAGGAGCGAAAGCCAGGGGAGCAAACGGG